GGGGGGCCCCUACGGGAGGCAGCAGUGGGGAAUAUUGCACAAUGGGCGCAAGCCUGAUGCAGCGACGCCGCGUGAGGGAUGAAGGCCUUCGGGUUGUAAACCUCUUUCAGUAGGGAAGAAGCGAAAGUGACGGUACCUGCAGAAGAAGCGCCGGCUAACUACGUGCCAGCAGCCGCGGUAAUACGUAGGGCGCAAGCGUUAUCCGGAAUUAUUGGGCGUAAAGAGCUCGUAGGCGGUUUGUCGCGUCUGCCGUGAAAGUCCGGGGCUUAACUCCGGAUCUGCGGUGGGUACGGGCAGACUUGAGUGAUGUAGGGGAGACUGGAAUUCCUGGUGUAGCGGUGAAAUGCGCAGAUAUCAGGAGGAACACCGAUGGCGAAGGCAGGUCUCUGGGCAUUAACUGACGCUGAGGAGCGAAAGCAUGGGGAGCGAACAGGAUUAGAUACCCUGGUAGUCCAUGCCGUAAACGUUGGGCACUAGGUGUGGGGGACAUUCCACGUUUUCCGCGCCGUAGCUAACGCAUUAAGUGCCCCUGCCUGGGGA
rnacentral:rRNA from 1 species